CUUGCCUGAAGAUGAGAGGGGCAAAAACCGAAAGCACUUGGCUGCUCUUUCAGAGAGGCCUUUUGGUGAGGGGAGGAGAGGAGAAGCCAAGUGAGGGGAGAGUUGGAGGGGUGACUGACAGGAUCACCUCCCCAAGGGAGCGCGGCAUUCAUUCUCCCUGAAACACAGCGCCCAAGGAGCAGAGGUUUCAAGCCAAAGAACCAAAAUAAAAAAUAAAAGGAAAAGAAUUCCUAGAGAAAGGAACCGUGAAGUCUAGGAAGGCAGAGCGAGCGGUGGAGAGGGACACCGAGAAACAGGAGGAGGGAGAAAGAAAGAGGAGGAGGAGGGGGAGGAAGGAGAGCAGAAAAACGGAGAAAGAAGAGGGGAGAGGAGAGAGAGAGAGGGAAAAACAUGGCGCUUGCGAGCUGUAUGUGCAAAAUCCGCAAGGAAUUGCAGUAAAUUCCUUUUUGUUUGAAGAAAAUUUACAACUUGGUAAUAGACCUUUUUAUGACCUAUUUGCGGUCGUCAUUGGCUGCGGCUGGUCAUGUGCAGGCUCCGCUCGCCUUCACGGCCUUUUUCCUGAUUUCCCAGGCGAAUUUCCCCCCGCAUUCUGCCUUCCUAGAGCCUCACCCCCUCUUUUUCUAACCUUUGUCUCCGCAGAGGUGGGCUCCAGUCGCCGGCUGCGGGAUUGCGGGGUCCGCGGCGGCCUCGGCUCGCGCCCGGCGCCCAAUUUGGCCCCACGGCCGCUUCGCCCCGGGCCGCGCCGCUGCUGCCUCCGGAGCCGGCGGGGAGCCCGGCGGGCGGGAGAGCCCGGAAGGAGCCCGGGGCGCUGAGGCCCCCACUGGCGCCGGCACCGCCCGCCGGGAGCCGCCGGCCUGCAGCCGGGUGGCCGAGUCGCGCGGUUCCGACGCGGCUCCUUCUCCAACAUGAGCGGGUCCCUGCCGCGCAGAGCGCGAGUAACCGGGCAGCGCUUAGUGGAUUACAGCAGCCGCCGGGGACGACCGCCGCCUCCAGCUCUGCACCUCCGGUUCGGGACCGUGAGACACCACUCCUACUGUCCUGACUCGUUGGCUGCUUGGUAACCCCGGCUCUGUUACAAGGAUGGGGAACUCGUUGCUGCAAAUUGCCACCAAGCACUUCAGACUACCUGAACUGUCUCUGAAAGUGAGAGUGGCUGUGUCGGGCUGGCGGCUCCGAGGAGGAGGCUGGGGCUGGCAACAGUCUGGGUACUUGCUCUGGGUGGAACCUGGAGGCAGUAACGUUGUCUAUAUAUACCCUGUAGAACCGAAUUUGUGUGGUAUCCAUGUAGUCACAGAUUCGA
ensembl:lncRNA